UGAGGAAUAUUGGUCAAUGGCCGGAGGCUGAACCAGCCAAGUCGCGUGAGGGAUGACGGUCCUAUGGAUUGUAAACCUCUUUUGUCGGGGAGCAAAAGGCAUCACGUGUGAUGCUCCGAGAGUACCCGAAGAAAAAGCAUCGGCUAACUCCGUGCC
rnacentral:rRNA from 1 species